GGGGAUUUAGCUCAGUGGUAGAGCACUUGGCUAGAAAGCACAAGGCCCUGGGUUCGGUCCCCAGCUCCA
rnacentral:tRNA from 1 species